rnacentral:lncRNA from 1 species
AUCUGUCCAAAUCAGAUUUGUUUUUGCCUAUAUUAUCGCUUGUGUCUAGCAGCCCCACCUCAUCGAUACUGUCUAGUGCUUCUUCUUCUCUUUAAGAAUUUAUGUCCUCAAAAUAUACAUAAUUUUGCUUCUAAUUAGCGUUAUAGAAUUGCAGCUUUAUGUUUGAUAUUUGCUCUUGUUUACCGUGUUUUGUAGAGGACAUUAUGCUAUAUUGGUGAGUUUAUGUCAUUUCCUCAAUUAAUGUCACACUUGUGGUGAUGC